rnacentral:rRNA from 1 species
AUGACGUUGGGAAAGCGAGCGGCGGAUGGGUGAGUAACACGUGGGGAACCUGCCCCUAAGUCUGGGAUACCAUUUGGAAACAGGUGCUAAUACCGGAUAAUAAAGCAGAUCGCAUGAUCAGCUUUUGAAAGGCGGCGUAAGCUGUCGCUAAGGGAUGGCCCCGCGGUGCAUUAGCUAGUUGGUAAGGUAACGGCUUACCAAGGCGACGAUGCAUAGCCGAGUUGAGAGACUGAUCGGCCACAUUGGGACUGAGACACGGCCCAAACUCCUACGGGAGGCAGCAGUAGGGAAUCUUCCACAAUGGACGCAAGUCUGAUGGAGCAACGCCGCGUGAGUGAAGAAGGUUUUCGGAUCGUAAAGCUCUGUUGUUGGUGAAGAAGGAUAGAGGUAGUAACUGGCCUUUAUUUGACGGUAAUCAACCAGAAAGUCACGGCUAACUACGUGCCAACAGCCGCGGUAUUACGUAGGUGGCAAGCGUUGUCCGGAUUUAUUGUGCGUAAA